ensembl:snRNA U6atac minor spliceosomal RNA
GUGUUGUAUGAAAGGAGAGAAGGUUAGUACUCCCCUUGAUAAGGAUGGAAGAGGACCUUGUGCCUGACAACAUGCAUUCAGUUUAGGCAUUGCCACCUACUUUAUGGCAUCUCACUACGUUUUUGU